AGUGGCGAAAGGGCGAGGAAUACAUGGAUAACGUGCCUUUGGCAUGGGGACAGCUGAGGGAAACUUCAGGUAAUACCCAAUGAGACCACAGUGCUUUCGGGCACAGGGGUCAAAGAUGGGGCUCCUUCGGGACCUAUCGGCCAUAGAGCGGUCCAUGUCCUAUCAGCUUGUUGGUGAGGUAAUGGCUCACCAAGGCGACGACGGGUACCGGGACUGAGAGGUUGACCCGGCGCAUCGGGACUGAGACACUGCCCGGACUCCUACGGGAGGCUGCAGUAACGAAUAUUGGUCAAUGGGCGAAAGCCUGAACCAGCGACGCCGCGUGUGGGAGGAAGCCCUUCGGGGUGUAAACCACUGUCAGGGAUUACCAAGCAAUGGAGGCUAAUACCCUCCUGCGUUGAGGCGUCCCAGAGGAAGUCACGGCUAACUUCGUGCCAGCAGCCGCGGUAAUACGAAGGUGGCGAGCGUUGUUCGGAAUCACUGGGCUUAAAGAGCACGUAGGCGGACUGCCAAGCGUCUUGUGAAAUCCCCCGGCUCAACCGGGGAAUUGCUGGGCGAACUGGUAGUCUUGAGGCAAGUAGGGGCAGAUGGAACUCUUGGUGGAGCGGUUGGAAUGCGUAGAUAUCAAGAGGAACGCCAGAGGCGAAGGCGAUCUGCUGGGCUUGACCUGACGCUGAGGUGCGAAAGCCAGGGGAGCAACGGGGAUUAGAUACCCCCGGUAUCCUGGCCAUAAACGAUGGUCCACUUAGAUCGGUGAACUUCUGACAGUGUGCCGGUCGAAACCAAAAGCUUUAAGUGGACCGCCUGGGGAGUACGGUCGCAAGGCUGAUAUUCAUUGGUAUUUGUCCGGGGGCUCACACAUGCGUUGGAGCAUGUUGCUUAAUUCGAUGCUACGCGAAGAACCUUAUCCUGGGCUUGACAUGCUUGGAUGCCCAUCUGGUUACAGAGUAGGCUGCCAUUCGGGGUGAAACUUGCACAGGUGCUGCAUGGCUGUCGUCAGCUCGUGUCGUGAGAUGUUGGGUUAAGUCCCGUAACGAGCGAAACCCUUGUCGUUAGUUGCCAGCGCGUAAUGGCGGGGACUCUAGCGAGACUGCCGGUGUUAAACCGGAGGAAGGUGGGGAUGACGUCAAGUCCUCAUGGCCUUUAUGCCCAGGGCUGCAAACGUGCUACAAUGGCGAGGACAAACCGACGCAAAGCCGCGAGGUCGAGCAAAUCGGAGAAACCUUGCCCCAGUUCGGAUUGGAGUCUGCAACUCGACUCCAUGAAGUCGGAAUCGCUAGUAAUCGCGUAUCAGCGUGACGCGGUGAAUAUGUUCCUGAGCCUUGUACACACCGCCCGUCAAGUCAUGGAAGCUGGGAGCGCCCGAAGUCGG
rnacentral:rRNA from 1 species